CAUGGUGUAGCAAUACACUGAUGGCGACCGGCAAACGGGUGCGGAACACGUACGCAAUCUACCCAAAACUGAUGAAUAGCCCUCCGAAAGGAGGAUUAAUACAUCGUAACAUAAUGGAGUGGCAUCACUUUAUUAUUAUAGCUCCGGCGGUUUUGGAUGAGCGUGCGCCUGAUUAGGUAGUUGGCGGGGUAACGGCCCACCAAGCCUGCGAUCAGUAACUGGUGUGAGAGCACGACCAGUCACACGGGCACUGAGACACGGGCCCGACUCCUACGGGAGGCAGCAGUAAGGAAUAUUGGUCAAUGGACGCAAGUCUGAACCAGCCAUGCCGCGUGAAGGAUGAAGGUCCUCUGGAUUGUAAACUUCUUUUAUAUGGGAAGAAAUUCCCGCAUUCUUGCGGGAUUGACGGUACCAUAGGAAUAAGCACCGGCUAACUCCGUGCCAGCAGCCGCGGUAAUACGGAGGGUGCAAGCGUUAUCCGGAUUCACUGGGUUUAAAGGGUGCGUAGGAGGGCAGGUAAGUCAGUGGUGAAAUCUCCAAGCUUAACUUGGAAACUGCCGUUGAUACUAUCUGUCUUGAAUAUUGUGGAGGUGAGCGGAAUAUGUCAUGUAGCGGUGAAAUGCUUAGAUAUGACAUAGAACACCAAUUGCGAAGGCAGCUCGCUACACAUAUAUUGACUCUGAGGCACGAAAGCGUGUGGAUCAAACAGGAUUAGAUACCCUGGUAGUCCACGCCCUAAACGAUGGAUACUCGACAUACGCGAUACACAGUGUGUGUCUGAGCGAAAGCAUUAAGUAUCCCACCUGGGAAGUACGACCGCAAGGUUG
rnacentral:rRNA from 1 species